rnacentral:rRNA from 1 species
CGUAAGCAACCUGCCCCAAAGACCGGGACAACGUUCCGAAAGGAGCGCUAAUACCGGAUGUGCCCAUCGGGUGACAUCGCCUGAUGAGUAAAUCGCGCAAUCGGCUUUGGGAGGGGCUUGCGGCCUAUCAGCUAGAUGGUGGGGUAGAGGCCUACCAAGCCAAAGACGGGUAGCUGGUCUGAGAGGACGAUCAGCCACGCUGGGACUGAGAUACGGCCCAG